rnacentral:rRNA from 1 species
GACGAACGCUGGCGGCGUGCUUAACACAUGCAAGUCGAACGGAAAGGCCUGCUUUCCCUUGUGGAUUGCGGGUACUCGAGUGGCGAACGGGUGAGUAACACGUGAGUGAUCUGCCCCCAACUUGGGUAUAAGCCUGGGAAACUGGGUCUAAUUCCCGAUAGGACUGCAGGGUGGUGCCUGUGGUGGAAAACGAUUUUCUAGUGGUUGGGGAUGAGCUCGCGGCCUAUCAGCUUGUUGGUGGGGUAAUGGCCUACCAAGGCGGCGACGGGUAGCCGGCCUGAGAGGGUGGACGGCCACAUUGGGACUGAGAUACGGCCCAGACUCCUACGGGAGGCAGCAGUGGGGAAUAUUGCACAAUGGGCGGAAGCCUGAUGCAGCGACGCCGCGUGGGGGAUUACGGCCUUCGGGUUGUAAACUCCUUUCGACCGCGAGGAAGCCACCUGGUUGGAAGGGUGGUGACGGUAGUGGUAGAAGAAGCACCGGCUAACUACGUG